rnacentral:rRNA from 1 species
GGGCCCGCACAAGCGGUGGAGCAUGUGGUUUAAUUCGAUGCAACGCGAAGAACCUUACCUACUCUUGACAUCCACAGAAGCCGGAAGAGAUUCUGGUGUGCCUUCGGGAACUGUGAGACAGGUGCUGCAUGGCUGUCGUCAGCUCGUGUUGUGAAAUGUUGGGUUAAGUCCCGCAACGAGCGCAACCCCUUAUCCUUGUUUUGCCAGCGAGUAAUGUCGGGAACUCCAGGGAGACUGCCGUGAUAAACCGGAGGAAGGUGGGACGACGUCAAGUCAUCAUGGCCCUUACGAGUAGGGCUACACACGUGCUACAAUGGCAUAUACAGAGGGCAGCGAGGCAGCGAUGUGAAGCGAAUCCCAGAAAGUAUGUCGU